AGGCUUGUAGCUCAGGUGGUUAGAGCGCACCCCUGAUAAGGGUGAGGUCGGUGGUUCAAUACCACACAGGCCUACCA
rnacentral:tRNA from 1 species